AUUGAACGCUGGCGGCAGGCCUAACACAUGCAAGUCGAGCGAGCGGCGGACGGGUGAGUAAUGUCUGGGAGACAGUCCGAGGGAGGGGGAUAACUAUUGGGAACGGUAGCUAAUAUCCCAUAUCAUCAGAUGUGCCCACAUGGGAUUAGCUCGUAGGUGGGGUAAUGGCUCACCUAGGCGACGAUCCCUAGCUGGUCUGUGAGGAUGACCAGCCACACUGGAACUGAGACACGGUCCAGACUCCUACGGGAGGCAGCAGUGGGGAAUAUUGCACAAUGGGCGCAAGCCUGAUGCAGCCAUGCCGCGUGUGUGAAGAAGGCCUUCGGGUUGUAAAGCACUUUCAGCGGGGAGGCGUUACUCGCAGAAGAAGCACCGGCUAACUCCGUGCCAGCAGCCGCGGUAAUUC
rnacentral:rRNA from 1 species